UGAUUGUAAAAUUUUCAUAGUCAUUUACCAGUCGAAGACGAAGCUUGCCAAGUUUCAAGAAAUUUGCAUGUAGUGUUACUGUGAGUUUGGAGUAAAGUCAAUUUUGAGCGUCUCUGUUCUCCUGAAAGACUACAAACAGUACGGAAAUGCAAGACAACCAGCGUUCCAGCAUAUUAAAGCUAAUUAAGAAUGCACAAAGCAAAGAAAUGUGCAUGUAGUUCGCGAAUGUCAAGAAAUAAGAUCAAUUCAUGGUCGGUGAGUUUUAAGCAACGUUUUUCAUUGAUUUUAAUACUUUGUGGUUUCAUAUUAACGUAUUUGUUUGCUCUGGCCCGUAUUGCUCAAUUCCUAAAUCGGAAAUUAAUAAGCCGUGUGUGUUUAAAUGUACAAAUCAUAGCUGUAGUCUGUACGAUCGAAAUCAUUCAACUGAACAUUGGCUGAUAAUGUUGUUAAUACAAUUAUUUGUAUCAAGGGCAAAAAUCAAAUGCAAAACUAUAGCCGAAUGCAAAAGGCGAGAUUCGAGUAUUUGAUCCAGUCUUUUCCCGUCAUUUCCACUACUCAGUAAGACAAUACUUAACGACGCAACGAAUAAUAAUAAAAAUUAUAAAAGACCUUUUAUUUCACCAAACUGACCACACUGACUCUAUAUAGUAAUUUUCGUCAUUCAAUAUAGCAGUUUUCUCCGAUCAAAUGAUCCUCC